rnacentral:rRNA from 1 species
UUUGAGUGGCGCACCGGUGAGUAAUAUAUCAGAAUUUAAUUUGCAGUAUUGCAUACACUAGUGAAAACAAGUAUAAAACAAUAUAAAUUAAUUCAAGAAUUAAAACAGGGAAAACCUUGUGCUGCGAAAAUUGCUGAUAUCUGAUUAGCUAGUUGGUUUUUGAGUUAAAAGCUCACCAAGGCUAUGAUCAGUAGUUGUUCUGAGAGGAUGAACAACCACACUGAGAUUGAAAUAAGGCUCAG